UUUGAAGAAUUAAGGGAUUAAAUUGGUCUUUUUAAAAGUUAAGGGAUAAAAAUGGACCUCGAGGUAUAUAUAAGGGAGGAAAAAGGGUAUUUAGCCUAAACUAAUUAAUGAAAUAUUAUUUGCUUAAGUAAUUGUGUGAGUUUUAUUCUUUAUAUAAAAAUAUCUCUCAUUUGAUUGUUUCGAGUGAGUGUUGUAUAUCAACUAAUAUUGAUUUCAAUGUUUAAG
rnacentral:lncRNA from 1 species